rnacentral:rRNA from 1 species
AAUUACCCACUCCCAGCACGGGGAGGUAGUGACGAAAAAUAACGAUACGGGACUCAUCCGAGGCCCCGUAAUCGGAAUGAGUACAAUUUAAAACUUUUCCCGAGGAUCAAUUGGAGGGUAAGUCUGGUGCCAGCAGCCGCGGUAAUUCCAGCUCCAAUAGCGUAUAUUAAAGUUGUUGCGGUUAAAAAGCUCGUAGUCGAAUCUGUGUCCCGCGCCGCUGGUUCAUCGCUCGCGGUGUUCAACUGGCGUGUCUCGCGGGACGUCCUGCCGGUGGGCGCUCGUAUCGUUUCGGCGGUGCGUGGCCCAACUCGUAGCCGUCUCGCGCGGUUGCGAAUCCCAUCGCGGUGCUCUUUAUUGAGUGUCGAGGUGGGCCGGCACGUUUACUUUGAACAAAUUAGAGUGCUUAAAGCAGGCCAAUUUUGCCUGAAUAUUGUGUGCAUGGAAUAAUGGAAUAGGACCUCGGUUCUAUUUUGUUGGUUUUCGGAACCCCGAGGUAAUGAUUAAUAGGAACGGAUGGGGGCAUUCGUAUUGCGACGUUAGAGGUGAAAUUCUUGGAUCGUCGCAAGACGGACAGAAGCGAAAGCAUUUGCCAAAAACGCUUUCAUUGAUCAAGAACGAAAGUUAGAGGUUCGAAGGCGAUCAGAUACCGCCCUAGUUCUAACCAUAAACGAUGCCAGCUAGCGAUCCGCCGACGUUCCUCCGAUGACUCGGCGGGCAGCUUCCGGGAAACCAAAGCUUUUGGGUUCCGGGGGAAGUAUGGUUGCAAAGCUGAAACUUAAAGGAAUUGACGGAAGGGCACCACCAGGAGUGGAGCCUGCGGCUUAAUUUGACUCAACACGGGACACCUUACCAGGCCCGGACACCGGAAGGAUUGACAGAUUGAGAGCUCUUUCUUGAUUCGGUGGGUGGUGGUGCAUGGCCGUUCUUAGU